GACGAACGCUGGCGGCGUGCUUAACACAUGCGAGUCGAACGGAAAGGCCCCUUCGGGGGUACUCGAGUGGCGAACAGGUGAGUAACACGUGAGUAACCUGCCCUUGACUUCGGGAUAACUUCAGGAAACUGGGGCUAAUACCGGAUAGGAAUCCUUGCUGCAUGGUGGGGGUUGGAAAGCUUCGGCGGUUUUGGAUGGACUCGCGGCUUAUCAGCUUGUUGGUGGGGUAGUGGCUUACCAAGGCUUUGACGGGUAGCCGGCCUGAGAGGGCGACCGGCCACAUUGGGACUGAGAUACGGCCCAGACUCCUACGGGAGGCAGCAGUGGGGAAUAUUGCACAAUGGGCGGAAGCCUGAUGCAGCAACGCCGCGUGCGGGAUGACGGCCUUCGGGUUGUAAACCGCUUUCAGCAGGGGCGAAGCUUGUGGUGACGGUACCUGCAGAAGAAGCACCGGCUAACUACGUG
rnacentral:rRNA from 1 species